UUUCAACUCGGAGGAUUUUUUAGUAUUUGUAAACGAUGACAUCGGCGUCGAUGAAGGUCGUUGGUGCUUUCAAUGGGAUUCCUGCUUUAUCUUUUGAGAAAAAACCUUUACAUUUGAAUCCAGCAGUUGUCUGACAGAUGUUCAGACAAUUGACAAAGCAUUUGGUGACCAGUCUGUUAUUAAUGGAUAUCAAGAUUUGCUGUAUAUGUCACCAUGCAGUUGAAGACAACGAAGGCUCUAAACUUACUGUAAAAGGAUGCACUGGAAUAAAUGAUGCUAGCAUGAAGAGACAGGAUAAUGUUUAUGCUGUUCCAGGAAAUUGUUUCCACAUUGCAUGUCGAAAGACUUACACAAACGCUAAUGUUAUUGCUCGGGAUACCAAAAAAAAAACCUUAGUCCAAACACCAGAUUUGUGAGGUCUAAAGCUGAUGUUUUGAAUUUUCAAGAACAUUGUACAUUUUGUGAUCAUUCUGCUAAAUACAAUGACAGAAAACGUGGUUUCGAUGUAUUUCCAGUAAGGACAUUUAAAAAAACUAUAAUAGAGUUGUGUUCAGCUAGAGGAGAUGAUUGGGCUAAUAAGGUCCGGGGCAGGAUAGAAUAUGUAAAUGACCUGCCAGCAGCUGAUGCAGUUUACCACCAGUCCUGCAGCAUCAAUUUUAGAACAUUUAAAGACAUGCCGACACAUUUCCGCAGUGUUACCGAACCCAAAACGAUGACAUCACCAAUACGAGGCAGACCCGCGAACGAAGCAGCACAUCUAGCUUUUCAACAAGUGAUCUCAUUAUUUAAAGAAAGUGAAGAUGAGCAAAUAACAGUUACAGUUUUAGUUGACCAAAUGAAAAAUAUUUGUGGAGAAAAUGCAUAUGGUGUACAAUACACUAAGAACAAACUAAAGGAACAUUUUGGUGAUUCAGUAAUAAUCACAGACAUCAAUGGGAAAGCAGAUGUGGUCACCUUUAGAAGAACUGCAGCUUCAAUAUUACAUGACUUCUAUUCACAAGGAAAUGUAGAUAAACUGAUAAUGCUGAGGCCCAAAAAGUGAAUGUUUUAAAAACAGCAGCUAAGUUGAUUCAACGUGUUAUCAAGGAUGCAAAAAGUGACUCAGUUUAUCCAAAUCCGGAUGAUAUCGCCAAUAAGCAGUUUGUGCCUGAAAGCUUAUUACUCUUUUUAAGAGAAAUAUUUUCGGGGAUUCUGAUGUAAAAUUGUCCUCAAUAGGUCAAGCCAUUAUGCAAAAUUGUCGACCUAGAACUAUCAUAGCUCCGUUACAGUUGGCGAACGCAUGGUGUUGUUGGACCAAAAGUCUACUUAACAAAAUGUACUCCAUUGGCUUCAAGAAAAGAGAAGUUCUUGCCAAACCCAGAAAAUAAACAGAAUUUCAUUUCCAUGUUGGGGACAGAAUUAGAAGGAAACGGAUAUCGUUGUGUUCACACUGUCCAUGAUUCUGAUCGGUUGAUUGUAGAAACUUCUCUCAAAUUAGUGGAAACAUCAAAUGUAACCAUUAUUGGUGAAGAUACGGAUUUACUCGUACUUCUGUUACAUUACAAUACGCCCAGCAAAUCGGUCUUCUUCAAGUCAGCUACCAGUGCUACAGCCUCCAAGGCAGAGCUCCAGAUAAGGUUUUGUGAAAUUCUUAAAUUACUACCAGAUUUUCAAAAAGAAUUCUUAACUCUGAAAUUUCAUUCUUAACGUUACUACUAAGUUUUGGAAAAUAAUUCUUAUUUUUUCUAAAUGACCUAAAAAUAAAUAAUAAUGGUUAUUUUCAUGCAAAAAAAAAUCAAAAUAAACAUACUAGCAACUUUAUUUAUACGAGUUCAACAGUGUCUUUUCAGUAUUAUACAAUUUUAUUUUUCCAAUACCUUCAUAUGCCCAAACUGUGUUUAGAUUGCAUGCCUUAGAUGAAUUUUUACAUAUCUCACAAUUAAAACGGGUCUCCCCUUCAAUCUUUUCAACGAUUAGCCACGGGACUUGUCCCUUCCACUCGUUCAAUGUUUUUUUUGUGUUUAAGUUUGGACCCGUCGUGUCGCGUUUUUGCUUAGCUUUUCCGACUGUGUCGGCAACUGAACAUACAACAUCGUAUAAGAUCUUUUCUAUAAUGUCUUUCUAAACAUUUAACUUCGGCUCACUUUGCGUACAAUUUGUUAAAGCGUGUUUUUGCACGCUUUGCAGUUUUUUAAGACGCUCUCUGGGCGCCGCCAUUGUUUUUUACAGAGAGACUGGAUACGCCGCUUUUAUUGAAAAAUGCGCUUUGUUAAACAAACCCGAUAACCAUUCUAUAUAAGCACCGCAAAGAUCUUUAAUACGCGAAAAGAACUCAUUAAAAAUCGAUACGAACCGAUGUAAAAAUAAUAUUCGUAACUUGAUUUUGUAAUUCUUAAUGGUACGACAAGAUUUUAAAAUAAAUACGUAACGGAAAAUAAUUCGUAAUUACGAAAAUACGACCCUUAUCUGGAGCUCAGCUCCAAGGGAUUGCGAGUGUGCAAUAUUCAGAAGACAAAACGGGUACAUGUAUUAGGUCUCAGCUGUUCCCAUAUCCUGCCUGUAAUACAUGCCCUCGCUGGAUGUGAUACUACUUCACAGAUGUAUGGUAUAAGCAAAGGAACGGCGCUGAAAAAGUUUCUGAGUGAUACAGAUCUUGUUCCACUUGCGGAGGCAUUCAUAGAACAGUCCACUGAAGAAAGCAAAGUAAGAAAUGGAGAAAAAAUACUUGUUAGUCUGUAUGGUGGAUUGGUUGAGGAAGGGCUAGACGUAAAACGCUUCAGGAAAUUUACGAGGAAGAUAAUGGCAAGUACAACCCAUAUGCAGGUCCAAAUAUUACCACCUACCUCAUGGGCGGCUAAGUAUCACAGUUUGCGCUCAUAUUUUCAAGUCCAGGAGUGGAUAGGAGCUGACCCACGACUGCUGAGGUUGGGCUCUUAAUAACGACAGACUUCUACCAGCGAAAACAGAUUUACCCCCUGCCCCAGAGAACCGUCUUAGCAUGAUUAAAUGCAGAUGCAAACUAAAUUGCGAUUCUAAAAAAUGCACAUGUAGAAAAAACAGACUUGAAUGUACAACUGGAUGUUCAGAGUGCCAGGGUGUUAGUUGCACUAACACAACACGUAGACGGGAACCAGACGAUUCUGACUCUGACUUUUAAUUAUAAGAACUUGGUUUAACAUUUGUAUUCAAGACUUUAUUAUAUGUGCCUGAUACUUGUGGUGAACGUAAAGUGGCAGUCAUAUACUCCUAUUUAGGUUAUGUUCGUAUUGUAUUGAGGUUUGCCCCACCCACUUCUUCAAUAUUGUAUUAUGUUUAAUGUAUACUCAACUCGCUUUAAAUACAUGUACAGAUAGCUAAAUAAUAUAUAUUUCUAUUAUUUGCUACUUUCUGUGUGUCGGCUUAUGUUCCAAUAUUGAAAUGAAACUGCUCUUCUGAACACUAUUAAGCUGUAGCAGACGAUUUCUAUCUGAAAUAUUAAGUGUUUACCUAGUAAAUUGUUUCAUUUUUUACAACAUUUCCCCUGCUUAGAUGUUUCUAGAUUUUUUAUAUUUAAUGUGUAAUAGAUCCUAGAUGGUAAAUAAAAAAGGUUUCGUUUCUGUUGCAAUUUUUUAAGGUUAUGGCUGUUUUGGGGAUAUUUUGACUGGACUAUUCAUGAAAAUUAAGUGCUUAUAUUUCACCUUAUCAGCAAUACAAUUGCAAUAACAAAUACAGGGUUAAACCUAAGCCAUACAUGCUACGCACCGCGUUAUUUAAUAUUGAUCAGAUCAUGACGUCAUUAAAGACAAAACACUUGAAGCUAGCCUACCGUACAUAACACAAAAACAAAUUGGUAUUAUAUGCAAGAAAUUAUGCCAAUUAAAAAUAAGUUAAAAAUAUUUAAUUAUUAAAUUAGUAUAUAGUAAUCUUUACGAUCACGCUCAAGAUCAUGCAAGUACACUUGUGCUUAGAAGUGUCAUUACAUAAACAUUAAUUUAUGGGAAAGUUGUAUUUAAAAUUAAAUAUCGAUGGCGUAAAGAAUAAGUCAAUCGUAUAGGUACUGUAGUGUUAUUCCAUUCCGACAUAAAAAGGCAAGUGUAAAGCACAGAAAAAUACAUAUUUCGUCCAUAUUCGUUGAAAAUUCCUUUUUAACAUAUUUAAACUUUUUAAUAUUGUCAAUAAUGAACCCUUAAUACAAUCAUUUGGCCCCGAUUUGCCAUAGACUUG